UGGGGAAUUUUGCACAAUGGAGGAAACUCUGAUGCAGCGACGCCGCGUGAGUGAUGAAGAUCUUCGGAUUGUAAAACUCUGUCCUUAGUGAAGAUAAUGACAGUAACUAAGAAGCAAGCCCUGGCUAAAUACGUGCCAGCAGCCGCGGUAAUACGUAUGGGGCAAGCGUUGUCCGGAAUUAUUGGGCGUAAAGGGUACGUAGGCGGUUUAAUAAGUCCUAAUUAAAAGGCUAUGGCUCAACCAUAGUAUGGUUAGGAAACUGUUGAACUUGAGUAGAUGAGGAGAAAGUGGAAUUCCAUGUGUAGCGGUGAAAUGCGUAGAUAUAUGGAGGAACACCAAUGGCGAAGGCAACUUUCUGGAAUCAAACUGACGCUGAGGUACGAAGGCGUGGGGAGCAAACAGG
rnacentral:rRNA from 1 species